rnacentral:rRNA from 1 species
ACGGGAGGCAGCAGUGGGGAAUAUUGCACAAUGGGGGGAACCCUGAUGCAGCGACGCCGCGUGAGUGAAGAAGUUAUUCGUAACGUAAAGCUCUAUCAGCAGGGAAGAAAAUGACGGUACCUGACUAAGAAGCCCCGGCUAACUACGUGCCAGCAGCCGCGGUAAUACGUAGGGAGCGAGCGUUAUCCGGAAUUACUGGGUGUAAAGGGAGUGUAGGCGGGACUGUAAGUCAGAUGUGAAAUAUGCCGGCUCAACUGGCAGACUGCAUUUGAAACUGCGGUUCUUGAGUGAAGUAGAGGUAAGCGGAAUUCCUAGUGUAGCGGUGAAAUGCGUAGAUAUUAGGAGGAACAUCAGUGGCGAAGGCGGCUUACUGGGCUUUAACUGACGCUGAGGCUCGAAAGCGUGGGGAGCAAACAGGAUUAGAUACCCUAGUA